UAGUCCACGCCCUAAACGAUGAUAAUUAAAUGUUGGACUUCGGUUCAGUGUUGAAGCAAACGCGAUAAAUUAUCCACCUGAGUAGUACGGCCGCAAGGUUAAAACUCAAAUGAAUAGACGGGGACCCACACAAGCAGUGGAUCAUGUGGUUUAAUUCGAUAAUAAACGGGGAACCUUACCUAGGCUUGACAUCUAGAGAAUUCACCAGAGAUGGAGAAGUGCCUUUCGGGGAGCUCUAAGACAGGCGCUGCAUGGUUGUCGUCAGCUCGUGCCUUGAGGUGUUCGGUUAAGUCCGUUAACGAGCGUAACCCAUGUCGUUAGUUAUAAUGUCUAACGAGACUGCCUAUGUUAAAUAGGAGGAAGGUGUGGAUGAUGUCAAAUCAGCAUGGCCCUUAUGCCUAGGGGCCACACACAUGAUACAAUGGUCGGUACAGAGAGUAGCAAGCUAGCGAUAGUGAGCGAAUCUU
rnacentral:rRNA from 1 species